AUGACUGUCCAGUUUUGUUGUUUUGUUUUUUCCCCCUGGUCUCCCCCUUCCUGCAACCACCUUUCCACAAAAAACUCCAACCCGGCAAGGACAAUUUCCUUGCUCUGCUCUUUUUUGUUUUCUGACUUAAAAACUACAAAAGUACUCUUCUUCCUCCGCACCCGCAUAUCACCUCCCCGUUCCCCCCACCCCACCAACAAAAAUAAGCCCGAGAACACUGAAGUGGGGAGCUUCCGAGAAAGUCCAAGAGUUGUUCGCCUCCUCCCCCCGUCCUCAGCAAUUCCCCCAACGACCACGGGCACGUCCCAGAGGCGCCUGGGCCGCCCACCCCCUCCAGGCCGGAGGCGGCCGACGCUGCCCAACUCUUCGCUGCCCUCUCCAGCGAGUCCCGGGUCUCGAGCUUCCCGGGUUCUCCCCGCAUUCAGCUCGUUUCCCCCUCCCCCCCCCGGGCCUCUCCCCUCCCCCUCUCCCUCUCCAGCUCACACUUUUCCUCCAGCCUCGCCCUUUCCCCAACCGACGCCGGCCGAAGGCAACUCCCUCCCCCACGGCCAACUCUCUCCUCGGGCCCCCCCCUCGCCCCCAGCCCCUCCCCAGCCUGGCUCCUCUCACUCCUGCUCGGCCUCUGCCCCACAUGCCCCCUCGGCCUCCCCUGGCGUUUAUUUCGGCUCAGCUCCUCCCCUUCCCCUUCGCCUUCUCCCCUACCUCUUUCCCGGUCUCCGCCCCGCCCCGGACCCACGGUUGCCCCCUCCCCCCCUUCGCCUCACCUCACCUCGCGGCGCCCCGACCCGUCUCCGCCCCUCCCCUCUCCUCUCCUCUCUUCCCCUCCCCUCCCCUCGGCUCCCCCGGGUUGGGCCCGUAGUCGCCACUUCCCCUUCCCCACCCCCAGGGCCCACCGCCUCCCAGCCCCGCCCCUCUCCGUUCCCCGUCCCGGGCCUCACUCUCGGCUCAGACUCGGCGCCGCCAUGUUGGGUCCAUCGGCUCCGCUCUCCCGGGCCCCGUCUCGCUGAGCAGCAUCCGGGCCCUCAGCGCUGCUGCUGCCGCUGCUGCCGCUGCCGCUGUCGUCGCCGCCGCCGCCGCCGCCGCCGCCGCGCCGGCGUGAAGAAGGGGGAGGGCGGGCGGGGGUGGCUUCAUCCGGGAAACCGCGGCCUGUAA
rnacentral:lncRNA from 1 species